rnacentral:tRNA from 1 species
CCCCGGAUGGUGGAACGCAGACACGGCGACCUUAAAAUUCGCUGCCCUUGAGGGUGUGCCGGUUCAAGUCCGGCUCCGGGGACCA